rnacentral:rRNA from 1 species
UACAGAGGUCUCAAGCGUUGUUCGGAUUCAUUGGGCGUAAAGGGUGUGUAGGUGGCGCCGUAAGUCGGGUGUGAAAUUUCGGAGCUUAACUCCGAAACUGCAUUCGAUACUGCGGUGCUUGAGGACUGGAGAGGAGAGUGGAAUUCCUGGUGUAGCGGUGAAAUGCGCAGAUAUCAGGAAGAACACCCGUGGCGAAGGCGGCUCUCUGGGACGGUACUGACGCUGAGACGCGAAAGCGUGGGGAGCGAACAGG